rnacentral:tRNA from 1 species
CAGGGUAUAGGGCAGUCUGGUAGCCUAUUUCUUUUGGAAAGAAAAUGUCGAUGGUUCAAAUCCAUCUACCUUGA